rnacentral:rRNA from 1 species
UACGUAGGGGGCGAGCGUUGUCCGGAUUUACUGGGCGUAAAGAGCGCGUAGGCGGACAUUUAAGCGUGGCCUGAAAGCCCCCGGCUCAACCGGGGAGUGCGGCUGCGAACUGGGUUUCUUAAGGACGAUAGAGGAGAGUGGAAUUCCUGGUGUAGCGGUGAAAUGCGUAGAUAUCAGGAGGAACACCCGAGGCGAAGGCGGCUCUCUGGGUCGUACCUGACGCUGAGGCGCGAAAGCGUGGGGAGCGAACGGG